GGCGGCCUGGGACGUGCUUGAUGACAGGGGAUCCAGCGACACAGGCCUCUUGGAGCUCAGCAAAACAUUCAGGGCCUGCAAGACCGUGCGCUUCCCUAGUUCGCUGUCCAACUGGCUAUGGACGGCAUUCACAUACACAGCCAUGGUGGACUAUCCAACUCCAGCCAAUUUCAUGAUGAAUCUGCCUGCUUACCCUGUCAAGGAGAUGUGCAAGAUCAUUGAUUCUUUUCCCGCGGGUGCAGACGUCGUCGAAAAAGCUUUCGCAGCGGCGAGUCUGUACUACAAUUACACAGGCGACCAGAAAUGCUUCCAGGUAGAGGGUGGGGAUGACCCCCAUGGCCUCAGCGGCUGGGGCUGGCAGGCUUGCACAGAGAUGGUCAUGCCAAUGACGGUGUCGAAUGAGAGCAUGUUUCCGCCAUCCGGCUUCAGCUACGAAGAGAAGUCCGAGGGCUGCUUUGCUAGCUAUGAGGUUCGCCCGAGGAUGAACUGGAUCACUACUGAAUAUGGUGGCCAUAAAAUUGACAAAGUUCUCAAGAGGUUCGGGAGCAACAUCAUCUUCUCCAACGGGAUGCGAGACCCGUGGAGUCGAGGGGGGAUUCUCAAGAACAUAUCAUCCAAUAUCAUUGCUCUUGUCACAGAGAAAGGGGCCCAUCAUUUGGACUUCAGAUCUGCAACCAAGGAUGACCCAGACUGGGUUGUAGAACAAAGGAGACAGGAAGUUGAGAUCAUACAUGGAUGGAUAGAUCAGUAUAACAAGUACAUUGCACAGAUGUAGCAGUAAGAAGGUGAUGUUUGUCGAAGCUUGCAACCCUGCUUCUAACUAGACUACCACAAUUUUCACAAUUUCGCGGUUACAAUCUGCAAGAUCAACAGCCGGCGAACACAUAUGCAGAAACAUCUCUCGCGAAAUUCGUGAAGGGGGUGCUUGGUUAGACAUAAUUUAUGACUUUUUGGUUUUUGGCUUAUAAGCCAAAAAAACCUAUUUGUGUGCUUUUUUCUUUCGCUUUUAGCUUUAUAUAUUAUGUGCUUUUUGGCAUAUAAGCUAAAUUCAAAAGCCAAAAGUAAGCCUAACCAAACACCCUCGAAAGCAUCAUCUCCAGAGAAUUCCUGCAGUGAGAAACUUGAUUUGGAUACAUCUGACCAGCUCAACAAAUUCACUAUGCCAAGCCUGAAAAGUCUAGAGAUAGUGUCAAAUCACCAUAAAGAAGAC
rnacentral:rRNA from 1 species